CUGCAUGAUAGAGGCGCAUGUUUCAUCAGUACCGAUCAUCUCCGGUCAAUGGAUCUUCGGGAAAGGGAAACGUGCCGAGGGUUAAGUAUUUGUGUCCACGGAUACUUUUCGCCGGGACGUAGGAAAAUAUCCUGCGUACUGUCGUUCGCCGAGCGAACGGAGCGCUAUCGUGUCU
rnacentral:ncRNA from 2 species